rnacentral:misc_RNA from 1 species
UGCUGAGAUGAUCAAGUUUUUGGAAGGAAAGGAGCCUGAGCUGCAGGCUUCUCGACAAGCAGGUCUGCUUGAUUUUAUUGCCUCUGCGCUGCCUGCUUCUCAUACAUCAAAACCUGAAGCUUGCCAGGUUACAAUACACCUUCUAAAACUUUUGCGAGUAGUCCUUUCUGUACCUGCAAAUCGGAGUUAUUUUCUAGCGCAAAAUCUUUUACCCCC